AUGACACACGUUACUUUCUUCAGGUGGGUGCUGAGUGCUGCUGUGGAUCCUCGGAACGAGGAGGUGAACCGUGAAGAAGCACAACUGCAGGAAGAGCGGUCUCACUGGUGGAGGAGGCGUGGCAGUAUGUUCUCCAGAGUCCACAGGGUCAUCCAUCCUGGCCAGCAGGUGAGUCGCUGCCCUUGGCCACCUCCAUUCAAGUGCUCAUCAAGUUCGGUGCCAAAGGCCAAGUACCAGCCAGAGGCUUCCGCUUUGUCUACCAAGCCAUGCUCUGGACCAGCGCCAUACAGUGCAGCUCUGUGCAGGAACCCUGCUACGGCAAGAGGCUGGGCAGUGACUUCUCCAUGGGCACCGUCAUCUGCUUGGAAUGCAUUUCCGGUUAUGCCCUGCAGGGGUCACAAGAAAUUAAGAGCCUCCCUGUGCCGGGGCCUUGGUGCAGUGGAAUGUCUGAGCACCCACCAGGACAGCUGGGGCCAGCCGUGGGCCUGA
rnacentral:lncRNA from 1 species